rnacentral:lncRNA from 1 species
UAACGGGGAUUGGGGUGGGGGUGGGGUGGGGAGUGCAAUACCAAACCUCGCCCCGUUAACAAUUUGAAAAUUAUUUUCCCUCACUCCCCACCUCAUUUCCCAAAAAUCAUUAAAAAUUUUCCCCAUUUGGGGUGGGGCUCCAUGGGACCCCAAACCCGUGGAGAAUUUUGUCAUCCCUAGCUAUCACCUAAUAACUCGAUAACUCAAAAAGUAUUUUAUAGUAAAAGAGCAGUUUAAGUUGUCGAUGAAAAGAUUACUAAUGUGAUCAUGAAUAAAAUGUUAUUGGUAGGAAAUAGUGUCGUUUUAGUCGAGAUAGAUGAGUUAACAAUUAUUUUAAGCUUAUAUUAUUUAGCUAAUCAAUACAUACUAUCAAUCAACGUAGAAUAUUUUUCCUAUCACCUCUUGUCACGUACGGGCCUUUUUUUUGUCUUGUCUAUAUUGAGUGGUAAAGGAAUACAUAUGAGCCCACUCAUAUAUAAGUUUAAUUCUAAUAUUAUAUAAAAGCUCAUAAACUAAACUAAUACUCAAAAUUAAGCUUGCCCAAAAAUUGAGGGGAUGAGCUUCCAAAUCAGGGAAUAGAUAAUCUUGAUUUAAUAAAGAUAAUACAAUUGUUAAUGUUAACGGUAUCUUUCAUAUUUAGUCAAUAAGUUUCUAUCCCAACUAAGUUUAUUGUCAAAAUUUUAUUAGGGGAGUGUCACUCUCGCAUUUAAAAAAUGAAAUUUCAUUCUUAUGGAUUUACAAUCAUACAUGUUCAAUUUAUACAAUUUUAUUUUUUUAUAAACCCUCAACUAAGUGAGAAGAUUAAUUAAAUUGAAAAAUAUAAAGAUGAAUAAAUGCAGAGAGUUAUUCCACCAAAACCCAUAAAGAUCUAAAGCAAAAAAUAAAGUGAACGAAAUUUUGGGGUUCUUUGAAGUGUUAAUUUGUCUAAUUGUGUCAUGUUAAAUUUAAGCAAGCACAGAUACGACUCAUUUAUUAAUCAUGUUGAAAUAUCAAAAUAUGAAUACGACCACGUCUAUUAAUUUUGUUGACCCAUUUAACAUAUUUAAUACAAAAAAUUAAAAAUUAAUUUAAAAAAUUAACAGAUAUGUCAAUAUUAUUCUUUAAAAUAGGUUAUAAAUAAGUU